rnacentral:rRNA from 1 species
UGUAUGGUUAAGUGACUAAGCGUACACGGUGGAUGCCUGGGCAGUCAGAGGCGAUGAAGGACGUACUAACUUGCGAUAAGCGCAGAUAAGGCAGUAAGAGCCGUUUGAGUCUGCGAUUUCCGAAUGGGGAAACCCAACUGCAUAAGCAGUUACUGUUAACUGAAUACAUAGGUUAACAGAGCAAACCGGGGGAACUGAAACAUCUAAGUACCCCGAGGAGAAGAAAUCAACCGAGAUUCCGGUAGUAGCGGCGAGCGAACCUGGAUUAGCCCUUAAGCACUCGGUGAAGUAGGUGAACAAGCUGGAAAGCUUGGCGAUACAGGGUGAUAGCCCCGUAACCGACGCUUCAUCGAGCGUGAAAUCGAGUAGGGCGGGACACGUGAUAUCCUGUCUG